AAUACCCGAUGGCAUAAUUAGACCGCAUGGUCUUAUUAUUAAAGAAUUUCGGUUAUCGAUGGGGAUGCGUUCCAUUAGGCAGUUGGUGAGGUAACGGCUCACCAAACCUUCGAUGGAUAGGGGUUCUGAGAGGAAGGUCCCCCACAUUGGAACUGAGACACGGUCCAAACUCCUACGGGAGGCAGCAGUGAGGAAUAUUGGUCAAUGGACGAGAGUCUGAACCAGCCAAGUAGCGUGAAGGAUGACUGCCCUAUGGGUUGUAAACUUCUUUUAUAUGGGAAUAAAGUUUUCCACGUGUGGAAUUUUGUAUGUACCAUAUGAAUAAGGAUCGGCUAACUCCGUGCCAGCAGCCGCGGUAAUACGGAGGAUCCGAGCGUUAUCCGGAUUUAUUGGGUUUAAAGGGAGCGUAGGUGGACAGUUAAGUCAGUUGUGAAAGUUUGCGGCUCAACCGUAAAAUUGCAGUUGAUACUGGCUGUCUUGAGUACAGUAGAGGUGGGCGGAAUUCGUGGUGUAGCGGUGAAAUGCUUAGAUAUCACGAAGAACUCCGAUUGCGAAGGCAGCUCACUGGACUGCAACUGACACUGAUGCUCGAAAGUGUGGGUAUCAAACAGGAUUAGAUACCCUGGUAGUCCACACAGUAAACGAUGAAUACUCGCUGUUUGCGAUAUACAGUAAGCGGCCAAGCGAAAGCAUUAAGUAUUCCACCUGGGGAGUACGCCGGCAACGGUGAAACUCAAAGGAAUUGACGGGGGCCCGCACAAGCGGAGGAACAUGUGGUUUAAUUCGAUGAUACGCGAGGAACCUUACCCGGGCUUAAAUUGCAUUUGAAUAUAUUGGAAACAGUAUAGCCGUAAGGCAAAUGUGAAGGUGCUGCAUGGUUGUCGUCAGCUCGUGCCGUGAGGUGUCGGCUUAAGUGCCAUAACGAGCGCAACCCUUAUCUUUAGUUACUAACAGGUCAUGCUGAGGACUCUAGAGAGACUGCCGUCGUAAGAUGUGAGGAAGGUGGGGAUGACGUCAAAUCAGCACGGCCCUUACGUCCGGGGCUACACACGUGUUACAAUGGGGGGUACAGAAGGCAGCUACCUGGUGACAGGAUGCUAAUCCCAAAAGCCUCUCUCAGUUCGGAUCGAAGUCUGCAACCCGACUUCGUGAAGCUGGAUUCGCUAGUAAUCGCGCAUCAGCCAUGGCGCGGUGAAUACGUUCCCGGGCCUUGUACACACCGCCC
rnacentral:rRNA from 1 species